GUCACAUUAGUGAACCAACCUCUCAGCGAGAAUAAUGUUUUGAUGACUUCUAUGUGUGUAUGUUUAUAUUUCACGUUAUCAAUCAUAUAAAUAAUCAAUGAAAAUUAUUUAUUUUAAAAGGAAAAUAAUUUCAAAAAUUUGCAAUGUCUAAAAAUUUUUUUUCUCGCAUUUAUAAACAUCAGUAUCCUUUAAUUUUUGGUUCUUUUCUUGUGAUUGGAACUAUGAUUUCUUUCAAAAGAAGAGAAAUUUUAUCAACAAUUGAAGUAAAUACCAAAAAAUUUGAGACUGAUCCAGAAAAUGUGAGCAUUUGGGAAAAUUUUCAAGAAAAAAUGAAAAACAAACCAACAUCCAGUACUUAAACUUUUGAAUCUAAUAUACAUAAUUUUGUACAUUCUGUAGGAUAUGAAAAUUUGUUUUUGUUAUUAAAUUUUUUCAUACUUAAUGAAAUGUUUUUUUUUUUUUACUACAAUUGUAAAUUAAAUACAAAAAAUAAUAUGACAUUGAGAAAAGGAUGUGGAACCUAAUUAACAACGUUACGUCGUUUUCUUGUCGUAUUGUCCCAUUAAUUUUAUUUUGAAACCGGAUAUUUAUUUAAUUCCAUGAAAAAUCUAAACUUUUACGUUGAAUUUGGAUAAAGUAAAUAUAUUUCUCUUAGUUUA